ensembl:lncRNA
CUGGCUUGGUCAAGAUUUAUCUAGGCGCGUUCUCACUCGCGAAAAAAAAAUGGUUGUUUGAUUGUAGUGCCCCCUGGUGGCCAAAGGCAGUGCAAAGGCUGUCGCUGAAAAGAAAGCGAAUACAGAACCCAUCAAGCUCCUAAUUGCCUAGGUUUAUAGGUCUUUUCCCAGGUUGUACGCCUGAGGGUAAUACUAGUGGCUCUCUCUCUGUGGGCUGUAUACCAUGUUGGUGAGCUCAGUUUUAUAAAGGGAAAGUUUGCUUUGUAAAACGGCUGUCCCAAAGAGUUACGGGGUCCUGGAACACCCACCAAAGGCUGGUUUCCCUAGGCUCCAGAGAUCGUCUGACCCCGGCCUCCAGAAUAUGUGGUACUACAAGCUAUGUCACUGUGCCCAGCUUAUAAAGGACAUGAUUGGCUCAGGUGGAGAAAUUUGAGUGAUUCUGGUGCACGCAAAGUUUGGAGAGUCCCACACUAGAGCGAUGCUUAAUAAACCUGCGCUGUUUCCAAUGGUAACCAGGGGUGAAUAUGAAGAAAGCCAGACCUCAGGAUGGAAAAGCAAUAACCAGGCCUGCAUGUCUCCCUGGAGAUAAACAGCAACUUGAGACUAGACUGCAAUUGGCACCAUCAAGACCAGUGAGCCCAGACAGGCAUUAGGCACACAGAUAGAGGAAAAGUGAGAUUGAAAUCCAGGUCCAUUGAUCCCAAAGUCCAUCUUUGGCUACAAAUCAACAAAUCACACCUGGCCUCUCCUGAAGGGAAAACAUAUUGAGGAACAAAUUAAACAACACUGUGGAAGGGGCAACAAGCACACUCCAGACAGGAAAACUGCAGCACAACCAACCUGGUUUAUUCAGCAGAAAAAUGCCAGGAAAACAAAACAAACCAAAAAUAGGGUGGCGAAACAUGUAAAAAAAUACUUGCAGUAUGUAAACAUAAUACAAGCUAUGGCUCUUUAAUUAAAAAAAAAUUAAUUGUAAAAGCAUAAACAAAUUGAUAAAUUGUAAAAAAUUAAUUGUAAAAUUAAUUGUAAAGUUAAAAAAUUACUUGUAAAAUUAAUUGUAAAUUUAAUUUUAAAAAAUUAACUGGAAGUUUGAAAACUG